UACAGAGGUGGCAAGCGUUGUUCGGAAUUACUGGGCGUAAAGCGCGCGCAGGCGGUCUUCCAAGUCAGUGGUGAAAGCCCGGAGCUCAACUCCGGAACUGCCAUUGAAACUGUAAGACUUGAGGAUGAGAGAGGUGAGUGGAAUUCCCAGUGUAGAGGUGAAAUUCGUAGAUAUUGGGAAGAACACCGGUGGCGAAGGCGGCUCACUGGCUCAUAUCUGACGCUCAGGCGCGACAGCGUGGGGAUCAAACAGG
rnacentral:rRNA from 1 species